rnacentral:rRNA from 1 species
GGGUUGUGAGGUUAAGCGACUAAGCGUACACGGUGGAUGCCCUGGCAGUCAGAGGCGAUGAAGGGCGUGCUAAUCUGCGAUAAGCGCCGGUAAGGUGAUAUGAACCGUUAUAACCGGCGAUACCCGAAUGGGGAAACCCAGUGUGACUCGUCACACUAUCAUUAACUGAAUCCAUAGGUUAAUGAGGCGAACCGGGGGAACUGAAACAUCUAAGUACCCCGAGGAAAAGAAAUCAACCGAGAUUCCCCCAGUAGCGGCGAGCGAACGGGGAGGAGCCCAGAGCCUGAAUCAGCAUGUGUGUUAGUGGAAGCGUCUGGAAAGGCGCGCGAUACAGGGUGACAGCCCCGUACACAAAAGCGCAUGUGCUGUGAGCUCGAUGAGUAGGGCGGGACACGUGGUAUCCUGUCUGAAUAUGGGGGGACCAUCCUCCAAGGCUAAAUACUCCUGACUGACCGAUAGUGAACCAGUACCGUGAGGGAAAGGCGAAAAGAACCCCGGCGAGGGGAGUGAAAAAGAACCUGAAACCGUGUACGUACAAGCAGUGGGAGCACCCUUUGGGGUGUGACUGCGUACCUUUUGUAUAAUGGGUCAGCGACUUAUAUUCUGUAGCAAGGUUAACCGAAUAGGGGAGCCGGAGGGAAACCGAGUCUUAACCGGGCGUUAAGUUGCAGGGUAUAGACCCGAAACCCGGUGAUCUAGCCAUGGGCAGGUUGAAGGUUGGGUAACACUAACUGGAGGACCGAACCGACUAAUGUUGAAAAAUUAGCGGAUGACCUGUGGCUGGGGGUGAAAGGCCAAUCAAACCGGGAGAUAGCUGGUUCUCCCCGAAAGCUAUUUAGGUAGCGCCUCGUGAAUUCAUCUCCGGGGGUAGAGCACUGUUUCGGCUAGGGGGCCAUCCCGGCUUACCAACCCGAUGCAAACUGCGAAUACCGGAGAAUGUUAUCACGGGAGACACACGGCGGGUGCUAACGUCCGUCGUGAAGAGGGAAACAACCCAGACCGCCAGCUAAGGUCCCAAAGUCAUGGUUAAGUGGGAAACGAUGUGGGAAGGCCCAGACAGCCAGGAUGUUGGCUUAGAAGCAGCCAUCAUUUAAAGAAAGCGUAAUAGCUCACUGGUCGAGUCGGCCUGCGCGGAAGAUGUAACGGGGCUAAACCAUGCACCGAAGCUGCGGCAGCGACGCUGAUGCGUUGUUGGGUAGGGGAGCGUUCUGUA